rnacentral:rRNA from 1 species
GAUGAACGCUAGCGGCAGGCCUAACACAUGCAAGUCGAGGGGCAGCACAGAAACAGCAAUGUUUUGGUGGCGACCGGCGGACGGGUGCGUAACGCGUAUGCAACCUACCUUUAACAGGGGGAUAACGGAGAGAAAUUUCCACUAAUACCCCAUAACAUCGAUCAAGGCAUCUUGAUUGGUUGAAAACUCCGGUGGUUAAAGAUGGGCAUGCGUUGUAUUAGGUAGUUGGUGAGGUAAUGGCUCACCAAGCCUACGAUACAUAGGGGGACUGAGAGGUUAGCCCCCCCAACUGGUACUGAGACACGGACCAGACUCCUACGCGAGGCAGCAGUGAGGAAUAUUGGUCAAUGGGGGCAACCCUGAACCAGCCAUGCCGCGUGCAGGAAGACGGCUCUAUGAGUUGUAAACUGCUUUUAAACAGGGAUAAAGCACAGUAUGUAUACUGUGUUGAAGGUACUGUAAGAAUAAGGUUCGGCUAACUCCGUGCCAGCCGCCGCCGUAA